AGCUCAGUUGGUAGAGCAGUUGACUUUUAAUCAAUUGGUCGCAGGUUCGAAUCCUGCUGGGA
rnacentral:tRNA from 1 species